UUUCCGUAGGUGAACCUGCGGAAGGAUCAUUAUUGUAUAACCGAGGUGCGAGGGCUGUCGCUGACCCGAAAGGUCGUGCACGCCCGAGUGCCCUCACACACAUCCAUCUCACCCCUAUGUGCACCACCGCGGGGUUCCCCCUUUGGCUUGUUCGGAGGGGGGCUUACGUUUUCACACAAACUUUGUAUGCAGUGUAGAAUGUAUUUUUUGUUUUUGCGAUCACGCAAUCAAUACAACUUUCAACAACGGAUCUCUUGGCUCUC
rnacentral:misc_RNA from 1 species